AUACGUAGGGAGCAAGCGUUACCCGGAAUUACUGGGCGUAAAGAGCACGUAGGUGGUUUAUCAAGUUGGCUGUGAAAUCCCCGGGCUUAACCUGGGGUGGUCAGCUAAUACUAGUAAACUAGAGGCCAAGAGAGGGCAGUGGAAUUUCCGGUGUAGCGGUGAAAUGCAUAGAUAUCGGAAGGAACACCAGUGGCGAAGGCGGCUACCUGGCUUGGUUCUGACACUGAGGUGCGAAAGCGUGGGGAGCAAACAGGAUUAGAAACCCGAGUAGUCC
rnacentral:rRNA from 1 species